ACCAGCCCCAAGCUAGGAGAUCCUGCCAUGGGCUUCAGGCUCCUCUGCUGUGUGGCCUUUUGUCUCCUGGGAGCAGGCCCAGUGGAUUCUGGAGUCACACAAACCCCAAAGCACCUGAUCACAGCAACUGGACAGCGAGUGACGCUGAGAUGCUCCCCUAGGUCUGGAGACCUCUCUGUGUACUGGUACCAACAGAGCCUGGACCAGGGCCUCCAGUUCCUCAUUCAGUAUUAUAAUGGAGAAGAGAGAGCAAAAGGAAACAUUCUUGAACGAUUCUCCGCACAACAGUUCCCUGAUUCACACUCUGAACUAAACCUGAGCUCUCUGGAGCUGGGGGACUCGGCUUUGUAUUUGUGUGCCAGCAGCGUAGCACAGCCCUGCAUGAGCAUCAGCCUUCUGUGCAAUAACAUUCCUGUCCCACUCAGGAAGUGA